rnacentral:rRNA from 3 species
AUGCAUGUCUUAGUACAAGCUUGUAUCAAGCGAAACUGCGGAUGGCUCAUUAAAUCAGUCAUGGUUCCUUGGAACGAGUUUCCCUACAUGGAUAACUGUGGUAAUUCUAGAGCUAAUACAUGCCACCAAGCGCCGACCGUAAGGAAGGCGUGCUUUUAUUAGGAACAAGACCAACCGGGCUCGUCCCGUUACGUUGGUGAACUCUGGAUAACUUAGCAGAUCGCACGGUCUCAGCACCGGCGACAGAUCCUUCAAACGUCUGCCCUAUCAACUUUCGAUGGUACGUUAUGCGCCUACCAUGGUCGUAACGGGUAACGGAGAAUCAGGGUUCGAUUCCGGAGAGGGAGCCUGAGAAAUGGCUACCACA